rnacentral:rRNA from 1 species
AGUGAACGCUGGCGGUAGGCCUAACACAUGCAAGUCGAACGGCAGCACAGUGAGGGCUUGCUCUUACGGGUGGCGAGUGGCGGACGGGUGAGGAAUACAUCGGAAUCUACUUUUUCGUGGGGGAUAACGUAGGGAAACUUACGCUAAUACCGCAUACGACCUACGGGUGAAAGCAGGGGAUCUUCGGACCUUGCGCGAUUGAAUGAGCCGAUGUCGGAUUAGCUAGUUGGCGGGGUAAAGGCCCACCAAGGCGACGAUCCGUAGCUGGUCUGAGAGGAUGAUCAGCCACACUGGAACUGAGACACGGUCCAGACUCCUACGGGAGGCAGCAGUGGGGAAUAUUGGACAAUGGGCGCAAGCCUGAUCCAGCCAUACCGCGUGGGUGAAGAAGGCCUUCGGGUUGUAAAGCCCUUUUGUUGGGAAAGAAAAGCAGCAGGUUAAUACCCCGCUGUUCUGACGGUACCCAAAGAAUAAGCACCGGCUAACUUCGUG